rnacentral:rRNA from 1 species
CACUGCACGACAGUGCGAUAGGGGGACUCCGAGUGUGAGGGCAUAUAGCCCUCGCUUUUCUGUACCGUAAGGUGGUACAGGAACAAGGACUGGGCAAGACCGGUGCCAGCCGCCGCGGUAAUACCGGCAGUCCAAGUGAUGGCCGAUAUUAUUGGGCCUAAAGCGUCCGUAGCCGGCCGGGCAAGUCCAUUGGGAAAUCGACCAGCUCAACUGGUCGGCGUCCGGUGGAAACUAUCCAGCUUGGGGCCGAGAGACUCAACGGGUACGUCCGGGGUAGGAGUGAAAUCCUGUAAUCCUGGACGGACCACCAAUGGGGAAACCACGUUGAGAGGCCGGACCCGACAGUGAGGGACGAAAGCCAGGGUCUCGAACCGGAUUAGAUACCCGGGUAGUCCUGGCUGUAAACAAUGCUCGCUAGGUAUGCCACGGGCCAUGAGCACGUGAUGUGCCGUAGUGAAGACGAUAAGCGAGCCGCCUGGGAAGUACGUCCUGC